CCUACGGGGGGCAGCAGUGAGGAAUAUUGGUCAAUGGACGAGAGUCUGAACCAGCCAAGUAGCGUGAAGGAUGACUGCCCUAUGGGUUGUAAACUUCUUUUAUAUGGGAAUAAAAUGUUCCACGUGUGGGAUUCUGUAUGUACCAUCUGAAUAAGGAUCGGCUAACUCCGUGCCAGCAGCCGCGGUAAUACGGAGGAUCCGAGCUUUAUCCGGAUUUAUUGGGUUUAAAGGGGGCGUAGGUGGAUUGUUAAGUCAGUUGUGAAAGUUUGCGGUUCAACGGUAAAAUUGCAGUUGAAACUGGCAGUCUGGAGUGCAGUAGAGGUGGGCGGAAUGCGUGGUGUAGCGGUGAAAUGCUUAGAUAUCACGAAGAACUCCGAUUGCGAAGGCAGCUCACUGGACUGCAACUGACACUGAGGCUCGAAAGUGUGGGUAUCAAACAGGAUUAGAUACCCUUGUAGUC
rnacentral:rRNA from 1 species